rnacentral:rRNA from 1 species
AGGGGUUUGAAUCCUGGGGCUUCAGGAUGAACGCUGGCGGCGUGCCUAAUACAUGCAAGUCGAGCGAGCUCUUCGGAGCUAGCGGCGGACGGGUGAGUAACACGUGGGUAACCUGCCUGUAAGACUGGGAUAACUUCGGGAAACCGAAGCUAAUACCGGAUACGUUCUAGCUUGGCAUCAAGCUAGAUGGAAAGAUGGCGUAAGCUAUCACUUACAGAUGGACCCGCGGCGCAUUAGCUAGUUGGUGAGGUAAUGGCUCACCAAGGCGACGAUGCGUAGCCGACCUGAGAGGGUGAUCGGCCACACUGGGACUGAGACACGGCCCAGACUCCUACGGGAGGCAGCAGUAGGGAAUCUUCGGCAAUGGGCGAAAGCCUGACCGAGCAACGCCGCGUGAGCGAUGAAGGCCUUCGGGUCGUAAAGCUCUGUUGUUAAGGAAGAACAAGUACGAGAGUAACUGCUCGUACCUUGACGGUACUUAACGAGAAAGCCACGGCUAACUACGUGCCAGCAGCCGCGGUAAUACGUAGGUGGCGAGCGUUAUCCGGAAUUAUUGGGCGUAAAGCGCGCGCAGGCGGUUUCUUAAGUCUGAUGUGAAAGCCCACGGCUCAACCGUGGAGGGUCAUUGGAAACUGGGAAACUUGAGUGCAGAAGAGGAAAGCGGAAUUCCACGUGUAGCGGUGAAAUGCGUAGAGAUGUGGAGGAACACCCAGUGGCGAAGGCGGCUUUCUGGUCUGUAACUGACGCUGAAGCGCGAAAG